UACGUAGGGGGCAAGCGUUGUCCGGAUUUAUUGGGCGUAAAGAGCGUGUAGGCGGCCAGACAGGUCCGUUGUGAAAACUGGAGGCUUAACCUUCAGACGUCGAUGGAAACCGUCUGGCUAGAGUCCGGAAGAGGAGAGUGGAAUUCCGGGUGUAGCGGUGAAAUGCGCAGAUAUCAGGAAGAACACCAAUGGCGAAAGCAGCUCUCUGGGACGGUACUGACGCUGAGACGCGAAAGCGUGGGGAGCGAACAGG
rnacentral:rRNA from 1 species